rnacentral:lncRNA from 1 species
UAUUAUUUUAGUACCUUAUAUAUUUUUUUUUGUUAUUUUUUUUGUUAAUAUUUUUAUUAAAUCAAUAAAAAAGUUAAAAUUAUAGGAUAGUAAAAUAAAAAUUUCGUAAAUCAUAUAAUAUUAAAGUGAAUAUUCGAUAAACCACAUAAGGUACCUAAAGUUUUUUUCAUAUAUUUUAAUAAAAAGUUAAGAGAAACUAACAGAAAGAGAAAAAUAAAAUCAUAAAAUGCUAAGAUGAUGCAUUUUAAACUACGAGAUACUAAAAUAAGAAAGCGCCGAACUAUAGAAAAAUAUUUGAAGUUUUUUUCUAAAACAAAAGGAAAGAUCUGUG